UACGUAGGUGGCAAGCGUUAUCCGGAAUUAUUGGGCGUAAAGCGCGCGCAGGUGGUUUCUUAAGUCUGAUGUGAAAGCCCACGGCUCAACCGUGGAGGGUCAUUGGAAACUGGGAGACUUGAGUGCAGAAGAGGAAAGUGGAAUUCCAUGUGUAGCGGUGAAAUGCGUAGAGAUAUGGAGGAACACCAGUGGCGAAGGCGGCUUCCUGGUCUGCAACUGACGCUGUGGCGCGAAAGCUAGGGGAGCAAACGGG
rnacentral:rRNA from 1 species